rnacentral:rRNA from 1 species
GACGAACGCUGGCGGCGUGCCUAACACAUGCAAGUCGAGCGAAGAAUUUAUCAUGAAGCCUUCGGGUGGAAUGAUAAACUUCUUAGCGGCGGAUGGGUGAGUAACGCGUGAGGAACCUGCCUUCCACAAGGGGAUAGCCUCGGGAAACCGGGAUUAAUACCCUAUGAAACUUAGCAAUCGCAUGAUAUUUAAGUUAAAGCGUUAGCGGUGGAAGAUGGCCUCGCGUCCCAUUAGCUAGUUGGUGAGUUAAAAGCUCACCAAGGCAACGAUGGGUAGCCGGCUUGAGAGAGUGACCGGCCACACUGGAACUGAGACACGGUCCAGACUCCUACGGGAGGCAGCAGUGGGGAAUAUUGCACAAUGGAGGGAACUCUGAUGCAGCGACGCCGCGUGAGCGAUGAAGGCCUUCGGGUCGUAAAGCUCUGUCCUAUGGGACGAUAAUGACGGUACCAUAGGAGGAAGCCCCGGCUAACUACGUGCCAGCAGCCGCGGUAAUACGUAGGGGGCGAGCGUUGUCCGGAAUUACUGGGCGUAAAGGGUACGCAGGCGGUCAAAUAAGUCAGAUGUGAAAGGCGUAGGCUUAACCUAUGUAAGCAUUUGAAACUGUUUGGCUUGAGUUAAGGAGAGGAAAGUGGAAUUCCUGGUGUAGCGGUGAAAUGCGUAGAUAUCAGGAGGAAUAUCAGUGGCGAAGGCGACUUUCUGGACUUAAACUGACGCUGAGGUACGAAAGCGUGGGGAGCAAACAGGAUUAGAUACCCUGGUAGUCCACGCCGUAAACGAUGAGUGCUAGGUGUCGGAGGGUAACCUUCGGUGCCGAAGUUAACACAUUAAGCACUCCGCCUGGGGAGUACGUUCGCAAGAAUGAAACUCAAAGGAAUUGACGGGGACCCGCACAAGCAGCGGAGCAUGUGGUUUAAUUCGAUGCAACGCGAAGAACCUUACCAGGGCUUGACAUCCCUCGGGCCGUCUUAGAGAUAAGACCUUCUCUUCGGAGACUGAGGGACAGGUGGUGCAUGGUUGUCGUCAGCUCGUGUCGUGAGAUGUUGGGUUAAGUCCCGCAACGAGCGCAACCCUUGCCUUUAGUUGCCAACAGUUAGGCUGUGCACUCUAGAGGGACUGCCGAUGAUAAAUCGGAGGAAGGUGGGGAUGACGUCAAAUCAUCAUGCCCUUUAUGUCCUGGGCUACACACGUGCUACAAUGGUCGGUACAACGGGUAGCGACUUAGUGAUAAGGAGCCAAUCCCUUAAAACCGAUCCCAGUUCGGAUUGCAGGCUGCAACUCGCCUGCAUGAAGCCGGAGUUGCUAGUAAUCGUGGAUCAGAAUGCCACGGUGAAUGCGUUCCCGGGUCUUGUACACACCGCCCGUCACACCAUGGGAGUUAGCAAUACCCGAAGCCAGUGAGCCAACCGUAAGGGAGCAACUGUCGAAGGUAGGGUUAAUGACUGGGGUG